rnacentral:lncRNA from 1 species
CCUGCGAUUGCUUAGACUCGUUUGAUAAAAAAGAGAACUUGGGUGCUACCGCUGCAAUCAUUCAUAAUGAUUACUUUUGUUAUAUUUUGAAGCUUGGACUCUGAAGUGACAAAGAAAUGAACUUGUUGAACAGAAACGUGAGAAAGAGAGCAGAACAACUGGUAUUGAAGCAAUAAUAAACUCAAUGGACGUGGAUCAAGUGCUGGCUGGUGAUGGUAGCGCUUUGAAAGAACCUGAGUCAUCUGGUGCACCCCAGGAGCCGUGAUUUCCAGCAGUGUUGGAAGAGGACUGCAUCACUCAUAUGAUGCAUUCAUGUUACAGAUCUGUAGUCUUGCUAAGCCUAGAACCUUUUUGAGUAUUAUUAAUCUGGGGGAGGGAAAAGGGCUGAAGCAUUAUAUUCAUCAUUUGGUUGCUUAACGCUUCAUUUAUUGCAACAUUUAUAUCAUUUUUGCAAUUGUUUUGUUUGGUUUGGUUUUCUUUUAUGACAGAAGACAUUCAUUGUUUGUGGUUUGGGGGACGUGUUUUUCUAGUGGAACCAGCACUUUUCCAUACAGCUGUAUUUCUGUAGAUGACUAUGAGGUGAGCUAUGAAAUAUGCAUCAUAGUCCUUGAUAUUGUAGCAUUAUUUUUCCAUUUUGUGGACAGGACAAGCAGUCUUGUGAACAUCUUAAUCCUUAGCUUUAUAUACAAAUAGUAACAACCAGCAACAUACAUGAGGAUAUACUUUUUUCUGUAACCAUCACUUCCCAUUAAGGAAGGAACACAAACUAUUCCAAAAAGCUGCCAGAACAAAUAAGUCAACUGAUGUGUCUUUCUUUGUGACUGUAUCAUGUAACUGUGCAUAGAAAAUGUGCUGAAUAGACUGGGAUGACAGACAUUCCUUUUAGGCAAACACAUCCAUAACCUUAUGUUGAUAGUUACAGAAAAUGUGGCCUUCAUCCAGCAUGUCAGGUUAUAUGUUUGCUGUGAAUUUAUUAUGUAAAGGCUGUUGUUAGGAGUGUUUGGGUCUUGUUUAGGUUGGGGUAGGGGGUUGUUUGUUAUUUGUUUUCUGUUCUCUCAUUUUUGUGGGGAGAAGAUAAGCAAGAUUAGAAUAACAGUUGCUUUGCCAGUUAAAAGAAAAAUACAAAUUGAGUUGAUUUGCUCAGUCAGUUACUUCUGCUCAGUGUAAAUAAUGAAGUGGUCAUUGAAGACAUUGUCACAUUCACAUCACACAGUGACUUCAAGCUUUGAAAAGCUCUUUGUAUUGCUUUUCCUUAAUCUCAUUAGCAUUCCAUUUGUGCUGCUUUUCGUUCUGUGUAACUUGUCAGUUAUUUGCUUGAGACUGUGUGUGUGUACACGUAGGUGCACGAUAGUUUGCACUGGUGCAUACACAUUUUCAUGUAUAUAGAGGUAACAGCGUCUAUUACUACUAAUGUCUAUUAAUAUUGCAUUUUAUGCAGUCAAGUCCAAAAAGCACACUGCUGAUCUUAUAUUUUUGGCAAGGAAGAGUGGGGGAGGGUUGCAUGUGGUCACAAAACUGGUACCAUGGACACAGGGUGCUGACAACAGAAUUUUGUACAUUUCACUCAUACCAGAUCUUACAUCUUUCCCCUCUCAAAUUUUUUAAUGUUUUUUUUUUUUUUUUUUGGAAUGUUUUGUACUUAAGAGUGGCACUUUAAUCAACUUACAGUUUAGAAAACAAGAUUUCUGUUGAAUAAU